rfam:Arabis alpina cultivar Pajares scaff_67088_1_contig_0, whole genome shotgun sequence.
ACUUCAUGAUAAGGACACAAGCUAGUGUAACCCUUCAAUCUCUUCCAAGCUUCAUAUAAAGUUUCAUCGGUCCUUGCUUGAAGCUAGUGAUAUUGUUUCUUUUCCU